GGCCUUUAGUUUAUGAUUUAAGGUCUGACCUGCCCAAUGAUUAUUUUGAAUGGCCGCAGUAUUUUGACUGUGCAAAGGUAGCAUAAUCAUUAGUUUUUUAAUUGAGAGCUGGAAUGAAUGGUUUGAUGAAAAAAUAACUGUCUCAAUGAAAUUUAUUUAGAAUUUUAAUUUUGAGUGAAAAAGCUUAAAUGUUUUAUGAAGACGAGAAGACCCUAUAGAGUUUAAUAGUACUAAUACUAAUUAUUUAAGGUUUUAUUUUUAUAUUAAUAUAGGUAUUAUUUUGUUGGGGUGACAGAAAAAUUUAACUAACUUUUUAUGGUUUAUAACAUUAAUUUAUGGUUUUUUGAUCCUGAUUUUUUGGAUUAUAAGAUUAAAUUACCUUAGGGAUAACAGCGUAAUUUCUUUGGAGAGUUCUUAUCGAUAAAGGAGUUUGCGA
rnacentral:rRNA from 1 species